GAGACAAACAACUGCGAAAGCAUUUGCCUAAAAUACUUCCAUUAAUCAAGAACGAAAGUUAAGGGAGUGAAGACGAUCAGAUACCGUCGUAAUCUUAACCAUAAACUAUGCCGACUAGGUUUUGGAUGAAACAUUUUUAAAUAAGAAAAUUCCUUUCGGGGAAAUUUCUUAGAUUGCUUCUUUCAGUACCUUAUGAGAAAUCAAAGUCUUUGGGUUCUGGGGCGAGUAUUCGCGCAAGCGAGAAAGUUAAAAGAAUUGACGGAAGGGCACCACCAGGCGUGGAGCUUGCG
rnacentral:rRNA from 1 species